rnacentral:ribozyme from 1 species
AGCUGCAAGAUUGAGGCCACAGCAGAAGCGCUCGUGGCAGCCCUGUCAAAUUCCAACAAAUCUGUGAAUUCUGCU